rnacentral:piRNA from 1 species
UUAGUUAUUGAUUGAAAUUAU